UACGAAGGGGGCUAGCGUUGCUCGGAAUUACUGGGCGUAAAGCGCGUGUAGGCGGUCUGAAUAGUCUGCUGUGAAAGCGCCUGGCUUAACCGGGCGAGGUCGGCGGAAACUCUCAGACUGGAGGCCGGUAGAGGGGGGUGGAAUUCCCGGUGUAGUGGUGAAAUGCGUAGAGAUCGGGAGGAACACCUGUGGCGAAGGCGGCCCCCUGGGCCGCGCCUGACGCUGAGACGCGAAGGCUAGGGGAGCGAACGGG
rnacentral:rRNA from 1 species